AUGCCUCGGGGGGUAAGCCAGAGGCGAGCCCCUACUCCCCUCGGUGGCGAAGCGCCUUCUCCACGGUUGGAAGCGCAGGACGCGAGACACUUCUGGAUGAAAAGGUUGAGAUGGCGCUGGCGGAUGAUGGUGGCGACUUUUGCCCCUAACUCCUCAGGGAUAAUGGGUCUCUUUACACUUUGUAAGGAUGGACUGGGCGAGUCGCUUCGCGGUGACCGUCGUGGUGCUGGUCUUGGACGCCACCCCAGACGACCUACGUGUCUCAAGCAGCUGGCUGAGGGGCUUGGAGCCGUUGGAGGCUGGCUGCCGCUAGCCACGAGGGUCUUCUUGGCACCUCCUCCUCCUGAGCUGUCUUGCCCGCCGGGGCACCACGAGACUCCUCCUCCAGGGCUCUGCCUCCUGGCCUUGCUUGGAAAGGACGGAGCUGGAAGGAGAUUUAAUACACACAGAAGAGGAGAUGGCAGAGCCGCCGAGGAAGCAGAGAUUGGCCACAAGACAAAGGCUGCUGGCAGCUCCCAGAAGCUCCUGCAGGCGAGGACUCUCUUACAGCCUUCGGACAGCUGUGACCCUGCUUCGACCCUGAUUAGGGCCCAGUGAUACUGACUUCGCAUUUCUGGCCUUCAGAACUGCACACAGCAAUCCACAUCUACAACAUCUCUUCAGGGUGGGGCUUGCCCUGUAUGGCCCUGUGCCCUCCUCCAGCAUCUGCUCUUCGCACAGGGGUGGCCCCUGAGACCUUCCAGGACCUGGGAUGGAUGAAGAAGCAACUCCCUCCUGCUCUUGGGCACACCCCACAGUGGGCCCUUCUCAUCUUGCUGGCCUGGGUUCCUCUGGGGAACUUCCCACCUGCAGAAAGGAUUAACCAG
rnacentral:lncRNA from 1 species